AUUCGAUCCCCUCAGUUGUAAGCUGGCCAAAAACUGAAGGUCUCCUAGGAAUGGGAAAACAGAUACAAGGUGCAUGGCUUGGAUCCGAAGAAGGGUUGUUUUUCAUGGACUGGCCUUGAGGAAAUGUCUUCUUGGUCUCUUACUUGGAAUGCACAUAUUACUGUCAGCUGGUUUUGAUUAGGGAUGGCAAUGAGGCGGUGCA
rnacentral:misc_RNA from 1 species